GGAGGGAUUCCCGAGUGGCCAAAGGGGGCAGACUGUAAAUCUGUUGGCUUAGCCUUCGAAGGUUCGAAUCCUUCUCCCUCCACCA
rnacentral:tRNA from 1 species